rnacentral:misc_RNA from 1 species
AAGUCGUAACAAGGUUUCCGUAGGUGAACCUGCGGAAGGAUCAUUAGCUUAUGCACGAGUGCGCGCCGAGCGGGAGACUGCGCGGUGCGCUACUUUUGUGUUACACCAUGUGAACCUGGAAUGCGAAGAGUGCUGCGCUGUUGGUGCAGCGAGCCGCCCCCGGCUUGCGGCACCGACAGCAUACGCAAUCAAACCUUUGUAACAACGUGCGCAAACGACAUAUCAUAACCAUGUAAUCUAUACACAACUUUUAACAAUGGAUCUCUAGGCUCCU